rnacentral:misc_RNA from 1 species
AAUAUCAAGCAUCCAAGUGCAUGGGCUUCCAAGUUUGCUUCAGCAAUGGUGCAUAUGGGUUCGAUUAAGGUGCUUACAGGGUCGCAAGGGGAGAUAAGGAAGAAUUGUAGGGUCGUGAAUUAUUAGCCCAUAUGGAUUUUGAUGCGAUUAGGCGUGUGUUUUCUUUUUUAGAUUCAAUAACUUGGGUUGUUUGGCCUUGGCCAUUUGUUUAUGAGCAUGGUAUGCAUACACCAUGUAUUCUAUAAUAAAAAUAAUCUUGCGGCUU